UCAGAAUCAGAACGCAGGGUGUUUCUGUUAGUCCUGAUAGAAUCUACUUUUUUCAUAGAAAUAUGUUCUGGAAAUAAAUGUAAGUCCUUGUUAGCAAAGCCUAAAUACGGCGUAUGUGGGUGAUACCACUUACGGAUAACUCAAUAUACAUUACUUAGAUUUACAAGAACUUUGUAUAUGUCGUUCUGAUAAUCCUGUACCUACUGUCUCUGCCAUGGAAACAGACACACCUGAGGCUUCUCAGUCUGAACCCUCCCUAACCUGCUGGUCAUCUCUAUUUAUAUACGCAUUUCUUCUUUCAGAUCAAGCUGCAGAACAACAUAUCCUAUCAAAUGGCAGACAUACAUCGUUUAAAGGAGCAACUAGCAGAAUUACGUCAGGAAUUUAUUCGCCAGGAAGAUCAGCUUCACGAGUACAAGAAGAACAAUACUUACCUUACAAGGAGAUUGGAAUAUGAUAGUCUGCAGUGUGGGCAGCAGAUCAAGGAAAUGAGGCUGCAACAUGAAGAAAACAUAAAGAAAUUAAUGGACCAAGUCGUGCGGGAACAAAAGGCCACACAAAAAAUUCAGUCCAGUAAAGACACUGAAAUAAGUCCCAAUAAUGAUGACCAGGCAAUAUCUAAGACUGUUCCAGAGGCAGAUGACAAAAACCCCGUCAAGAAUGAGCAGCCUUCAGAUCACGUUGUAAAUGGCAAAGAGAAAAUCAAACCAGGAGGAGAUGCAGGCAUGCCUGAAAUAGAAGAUAAUGACCCUGCUAAAGCUGAAGAUACUCCCACUGCUUUAAAGAAGCCACUUAUUUCAGCUCCUAAAAGUGAAGGUCAUCAGCCUGUUAUAAAUCUUCCAACUGAACAGCCCCAUGCUCCUAAUCUGGCACCAGGUUUGCACAGUGACGAUGAUGGAAAUGCUGACCUUGCGAAGCAGAUACCUCCAAAUUCUCUCCAGCACUUAAAUUUUGAAGAAAAUAUGGAAAAUCAGGAAGAACACAAAAUUGAGACAGACCAUAUAAAAAUUCCAAAGAGCAGAGUGAGUGACUUGCAGAAGAUGAAGCAAAGCCGAUUCUUUGAUGAGAAUGAAUCCCCUGUUGAUCCGCAGCAGGGUUCUAAACUGGCAGAUUAUAAUGGGGAUGAUGGUAACGUGGGUGAGUAUGAGGCAGACAAACAGGCUGAGCUGGCUUACAAUGAGGAAGAGGAUGGUGAUGGUGGAGAAGAAGACGUCCAAGACGAUGAAGAGAGAGACCUACAGAACGACCUCGUUGAUUACGGCAAGCCACGCUUCAGCGACGGCGUUCUCUAGGGUCAGGUUUCAGCGGGAAACGCGGAUGAGGAGAGAUCUCCACGGAAGAACUCGAAGUGCUGCAAAACCGAACCAUUGUCACUUCAGGUUCUUACUUCACAGGAAGCUGAUAAUUGAGUGAUGGGUGUACGCAGUCGGCCAAGUGACAGAAGGAAACCGUUCUGUACAGGCGAGCUCUCAGUUGAGAAUGAAAACUGAACAUUUAAAAAAUUGCUCCUUCCUCAACAUAACUGAGGAAAGGCUGUGAGAGCCUCUGGAAGCAAGUACCCUGUUAGUUCUCCUCUACAGCGACCCAAUCUUGUAGCUCGAGCUGGGAAUGGGUGAUACCAGAAUUUUAAUAAUUUGAUACCCCCUGGAAAAGUUGUGUAACCAAUAGCUUAUUUUAAAAGGGAAUAGAAGUAAUCCAGCACGGCUUGUAGGAAAUUGGGUGUGUGGUGAAGAGAGCAAGCGCGUUAGUGCGCGACAGACCCCUCUGCAUCAGCUUUGUAGGAGCCUUCAUGGAAGGACCAACCCUCGCCCUCAGCGAACAUGCCAGCGUUUUGCUGCCUCCAGAGCGUCCAUCCUGUGUCGCAGUCACUCGAGUUAAUUUAUGAUUUAAUACUUUGAUACAGAUCUCUCGCCAUCCGCCACAUUCCACGGUUUGAUUUUCUAUAGCGGAGGGUUUGUAAGUCAGAUACUUUUUUGUAUUCGGUGCUUAAGCACUUUCUGAGUUGCAUGGAAGCGAUUCUGUUGCUCUGCAGUAGUGCAGAUGCAGGUUAUCGAGCCGGCCUGCUUCUCCAAAAGGGCUGCUGUGGAAAGAAUUCUAGGGCUGACGACGUGGGCGACUGUACUUUAUCUCUGCACUCAGGUUCCAAUUCGAAGUAACAGUUAAGGUUUGCUCGAUGCCAGCUCAGUGAACCUCUUAAAUAAAUUCCAAGGGUCAGACUGUUCGGUUCUGGCUACAGGGAUCUUCUACCGCUCAGUCUUCAAUACAGGAGAAACGAGAACUCCACACGCUGGCCAUGCACAUCAAGGUGGGUUCGUGUUUGUUUGUUCGUUUAAGGCUCGAGCCCUUCAUUCUGCAGUGCUGGGAGGCUGCUGGGGGCGAAGCCCUGUGCAUGGUGUGCUGUGCUUUCAGCUGAAAACAAAACGCUGAACCUGCUCAGAAUUAGCGGCCGUACUAAGACCACAGGAUAAGUAUGAACUUGUGCGGGAUUCUGGGAACAGCAGUCUUCAGGGCCUGCUGUAGUUAAGCACUGCGAUUUUUCGUUUGUCUUAAAAUGUAAUUUCACCCUGGAUUAGGUGUUAACUUGAUUCUAAUGAGAGCAACAUUUAUGGGUUCUAAUAAAUUAAAUUGUUUAAAGUAUGGGAGGCUUCUGGCUUUUUUU